ACGAACGCUGGCGGCAGGCUUGACACAUGCAAGUCGGGCGGAAAGAUCCCCUUCGGGGGAUACUAGAGUGGCGAACGGGUGAGUAACAGGUGGAUAAUCUACCUUCCGGUGGGGGACAACAGCUGGAAACGGCCGCUAAUACCGCAUGCGAUUGCCGAGCCAGAACCGGGCAAAGAAAGGCGCUUCUGGCGCCGCCGGUUGAUGAGUCCGCCCCCCAUUAGCUUGUUGGUAGGGUAAUGGCCUACCAAGGCAUCGAUGGGUAGCCGAGCUGAGAGGUUGAUCGGCCACACUGGAACUGAGAUACGGUCCAGACACCUACGGGUGGCAGCAGUAGGGAAUAUUGGACAAUGGGCGAAAGCCUGAUCCAGCCAUGCCGCGUGGAGGAUGAAGGCCUUCGGGUCGUAAACUCCUUUUCUGAAGGAAGAACACCCUGGGGAGGAAAUGCCCUGGGCUUGACGGUACCUCAGGAAUAAGCAACGGCUAACUCCGUGCCAGCAGCCGCGGUAAUACGGAGGUUGCAAGCGUUGUUCGGAUUUACUGGGCGUAAAGGGAGCGCAGGCGGCCGAGUCAGUCUGAAGUGAAAUCCCGGGGCUUAACCCCGGACGUGCUUUGGAUACUGCUUGGCUUGAGUUCGCGAGAGGUGAGCGGAAUUUCAGGUGUAGCGGUGAAAUGCGUAGAUAUCUGAAGGAACACCAGUGGCGAAAGCGGCUCACUGGCGUAGAACUGACGCUGAGGCUCGAAAGCGUGGGGAGCGAACGGGAUUAGAUACCCCGGUAGUCCACGCCGUAAACGUUGUGCACUAGGUGUGGGAGGUAUCGACCCCUUCCGUGCCGUAGCUAACGCAUUAAGUGCACCGCCUGGGGAGUACGGUCGCAAGACUGAAACUCAAAGGAAUUGACGGGGGCCCGCACAAGCGGUGGAGCAUGUGGUUUAAUUCGAGGCAACGCGAAGAACCUUACCCAGGCUUGACAUCCCGCGCUCACCAUGGAAACAUGGUUUUCCCUCUUCGGAGACCCGGUGACAGGUGUUGCAUGGCUGUCGUCAGCUCGUGUCGUGAGAUGUUGGGUUAAGUCCCGCAACGAGCGCAACCCCCGUUCUUAGUUACCAGCGGUUCGGCCGGGGACUCUAGGAAGACUGCCGGUGAUAAACCGGAGGAAGGUGGGGACGACGUCAAGUCAUCACGGCCCUUAUGUCUGGGGCUACACACGUGCUACAAUGGCCGAUACAAUGGGCUGCGAUACCGCGAGGUGGAGCCAAUCCCAAAAAGUCGGUCUCAGUUCGGAUUGGAGUCUGCAACUCGACUCCAUGAAGUUGGAAUCGCUAGUAAUCGCGUAUCAGCAACGACGCGGUGAAUACGUUCCCGGGCCUUGUACACACCGCCCGUCACAUGACCCGAGUCGGUUGCACCCGAAGUCACUGGCCCAACCCGCAAGGGAGGGAGGUGCCGAAGGUGUGAUUGGUAAGGGGGAUGA
rnacentral:rRNA from 1 species